UUAUGUAUGUCAUUUUAAAGUCACAAUCUUUAUAUUAUUCUUUUUCUUAUAUUUUUAUUUGGUAUUGUUAUAAUUGUCCUACAUAAAUUUUGUUUAAAUUGAUAUCAAAGGCAAUGCAAAUUUGUUUAUUUUUCUAAUGGUGUAUCAAUCAUGAUUCACAUAAUCAUUGUAAAAUAAGUUACAAAAAUUUUUUUUUUUAAACUUAUAAGUUUAGACCAUUUUGCCAAGACUUCAAGUGAGACUCAAAGAGUCUUGUUUUUGUUGGUAGCUUAGACUUCUGAAGAACUCAUUUUAGU